UACGUAGGGGGCAAGCGUUGUCCGGAAUCAUUGGGCGUAAAGAGCGUGUAGGCGGCUCGGUAAGUCCGCUCUGAAAGCCCGGGGCUCAACCCCGGGAGGCGGGCGGAUACUGUCGGGCUAGAGUCCGGAAGAGGCGAGUGGAAUUCCUGGUGUAGCGGUGAAAUGCGCAGAUAUCAGGAGGAACACCGGUGGCGAAGGCGGGUCUCUGGGCAGUAACUGACGCUGAGGAGCGAAAGCGUGGGGAGCGAACAGG
rnacentral:rRNA from 1 species